UAUGCCUGCAGGCCAGAAGAGGACACCAGAUCUCAUCUUGGAUGGUUAUGAACCACCCUGUGGUUGCUGGGAAUUGAACUCAGGACCUUUGGAAGAGCAGCCAGUGCUCUUAACCUCUGAGCCAUCUCUCCAGCCCCUCCCACCUUCUCAUAUGUAGUCCUUUGGCUGCUGAUUCCCCCAGGUCAACUGAUAUUUGCUUGGAGUGGAUGAGGGUGGGCUUUCAGAGAUCCCACUCUUCUCCAUGACAGAGCUCCAAAGAAGGCAGGCAUUCUGCGUAGGAGGGAAAGGUACCUCCAAAGACAGUUCAGGACAGAGAGAAGCUAGAGUUACCACUCAGGGCAGGAAGCAGGCCAGGCUCCAAAUCUGUGCGUGCAAGAUGCAGAGAAGUUGACCUUUUCCCUUCAGAUGCCACCGAGGAGGAAGAGACGUGUCAAGGGUCGCCACACCUAAACAUCCUGGGUGUGUGUGCAGAGAAACCUCAGCAUUGACGAGAAACAGAGGAAGAGAUAACUGCUGCUGAGCCCUGGAAGUACAGAGUCUGCCUCAUGGCUGAGGUGAGCGUCUAGCUCACUUGUUUCUUCUUUACCAUCACUUGAGAGGUAUGGCUGCCCCGAUAAGGGGGACCAGCUCAUCAUCAUCUUCCCGAUCACCAAGUUAACGCCCCUUGCUUGAGGCUAGGGCCACCGUUGCCUCCUGAUGGUCGUGUGGCUUCCUUCCAUAGCCUCCUGUUUCAGUCUCCUCUGCCUGCGUCAGCUUUCAGAGCCCUGUUAACCUUGAGGCAUGCACAGGAUCAAAUUUCUGAGCCUUUGACGCUGGGCUCUGGACCUGGGUGCUUUGACAUGAAGCGGCUGUGCAAGUGACCGCUCUAGGAGCCCAGAAGCUGGUCCUUUCCAGGCAGCUCAGUGUCUCUUCAAGAGCUGACAUUCCUCUAGACACAACAAUGUCACUCACAGGAGAUCACCGAACAAAUGCAUAAGUUCAUGUGUACAAAGACACCCCAGUCGUUUCUAUCUUUUCCCCCUUUUCACCCGGAGGACGUGGCAGUGGUAAUUUUACCUCACAGGCUGUCCCCGGAAUUUGGGUGAAUUCCAGAGCCUCUCUAGCUCCAGCUCAGGCAGCACCGAUGGAAACCGAAUCUCUUACUAGAACGAGAUGGACCUUCACACUACCCGUUCAUUCUCCAGGGUAUCCCAGCAACACAAUCACCUCCUAAACUACCCUGGAGGAGGCAAGGAGAACUCCUCCCACCAAGGAUCAUCAAGGUGACAUUCUUUGUAAUGAAGGAGAAAACAGAAACAAUCCGGUCCAUUUGGUACAGCCCAACUGAAAUUAAGGUUCUUCUAAAGGCUGCUGGAAAGUAUGCUGCUCUGUACCAAGCGUCUUCAGGAAUGUACACAUUCUGCACACAGAACAGAACCCCCGCCAUCAGGAGACAGACAAGGCCAUUGGAGACAUAGCCCAUCCAUAAAACACAGACAGAAGCCUCAGGAGAGAACAGCCUCACUGCCACUUUAAUCUUAUAAAGGCCGAAGCGAACCUGCGUGGUGACCCUGCCAGUCCUGGGAGCAACAGGACUUUCCACUGUGACACGCCGGCUCCCAGCUGGAACACCUCUGCAGCUAUUCCGCUCACCCACGGGACCAAUGGAAGCCAAACAUUUUUCCUUCUCAUCACCUCCUCCACUCCCUGCCGGGAGCUUUCCUGCUGUUCCUCCGCUCCGGAUGGAAUGAUGCACCGGGACACUAGUGAUAGCUGAAGCCAGGACAUAAAAGCUGGGCAAGCCAAUGAGCAAAACGUGAAAUAGCUUGGUAAACACAUGUGGGAGCCUGGGGUGGACACAUAAGUCCAGACCUGCCUCACGAGGCAGGAAAUGUUGCCUAAAGAGUCCGCUCUUCCGCGGGUAGCCAGAGGGCAGGAGCCACCUUAGGCAGCUGUGACCCUGUGCUAAAUGGAACGCUGCAGCUGAGACAGGCCACGUCAGGACAUUUAAGUCACUGCAGAAACGAAGGGACUUUUAGUUCGGGAGAAUAAAGGCCUUGGUUUCCAGGGCGCAGCUUCUGCUGUUUUUGAGCAGCACAGCCUAGUCAAGCCUCAACUUCUUAGCCAUAGCUGCCGCGUCCGUCGGCAGCGGCACGAGAGCUCCGGGAGGCGCCCGCAGUAGACUGCAGAGUUACUGUCAGAGAUCUCUGCGCUGAGGGAACCAGGACUUUUGACUUCACCGCAGAAAAUAGCUUUAGGAUGAGGCACUAUGAAGCAGAAUAGAAUAUUAAGAAUAAAUAUUUUUAAAAAUUGUGUGUGCAUGCUAAGCAUGUGUGUGUAUGUGUGUUGUAUUUACAUGCUCGUGUUUGUGGUAAGUAUAUGCUGGUCUGUAUAUGUGGUAUGUAUAUACUCUGUGUGUGUGUGUGUGGUGUACAUGCUCGUGAGUGUGAAUGUAUAUAAAGUGGAGGUUGUAUAAACUGAGGACCUGGCUGUGCUAAAGUAUGGUCAAAAAGAAGGUUUUUAUUGUAGGUAAGAGGGAGAGGAGAGCCAUAGGUCUGGAAGAGUCCACAGCAGGGAGAGAUAGUAGCAGACUAAACAUGGCUAGCAGACUAAAUGGGGCCAUGAGAUGGGGUGAGGGGAGUGAGGAAGAAAAAGAAGGCAGGGAAAGAAGAGAGAGAGAGAGAGAGAGAGAGAGAGAGAGAGAGAGAGAGAGAGAGCGCCAAGAGGGUGCAUGGCUGAAAUGGCAGGGUUAUACAGGAAUGAGAACCAUGAGCUGGGCAAGGUUUAGCAUAGGGGCGGGUGAGAAGAGAGAGCUAAGAGGAGCCUCAGGUACAGAGUGAGCCUUGGUAUGGUAAUAGGGACAAUAGCUGUCCAUCUGCCCUGAGUUCCUUUUGGAUCGGACAACAUGUACGUGUGUGUGUUCAUGCAGGUGAAUGCCAAAAGUCAGUGUUAGGUGUUUCUCUUAAUUGUUCUCCAUCCCUUUUUGGGAACAAGGUCUCUCCCUGAACCCGGAGCUCAUCACUUCAACAAGGUUAGUUAGCCUUGUUGUAGCCAACAAGCUCUUUACAGACUGACUUGUCUGUGCACCCUGCCAGCACUGGAGUUACAGGGUGUGCCUCUGUGUCGGGCUUUGCCCUGAUCUGAGGAUCUGAAUUCAGGUCCUUCAUGCACUCAUGGCAAGCACUGAUUGAUUGAGUCAGCUCCCCAGCCCUGGAGAGGAUUUUUUGGUUUUUUGGGUCAGAGUGUUCUUAACUCUCAACUAAAUACACCUUUGCUGAAAACCCAGGGACAACUGACAGGAAAUGGCUAACAAAAGUCACCUCUACCAAGAAACUCUGCUCCCUACAGAAAGAACAAAGCGUCCUGGGAGAGCAUGGUCUGAGCAGACACAGUGAACAUGUCUGAAUGAGUCACACUUGUCCCUGCUUCCUGAGUGCAGGAAGCCUGCUGCCGAA